rnacentral:rRNA from 1 species
GACAGAGGGUGCAAACGUUGUUCGGAAUUACUGGGCGUAAAGCGUGUGUAGGCGGCCGAGCAAGUCAGAUGUGAAAGCCCCGGGCUCAACCCGGGAAGUGCAUUUGAUACUGCUUGGCUCGAGUGUCGGAGAGGUUGGUGGAAUUCUCGGUGUAGAGGUGAAAAUUCGUAGAUAUCGAGAGGAACAUCGGCGGCGAAGGCGGCCAACUGGACGAACACUGACGCUGAGACACGAAAGCGUGGGGAGCAAACAGG